UCCCGAAUAGCUCAGUCGGUUAGAGCAUCUGACUGUUAAUCAGAGGGUCGCUGGUUCGAGCCCAGCUUCGGGAGCCG
rnacentral:tRNA from 1 species